GAAACCGCGAACGGCUCAUUAAAUCAGCUAUUAUCUACUUGAUCUUGACGUAUCUUACUUGGAUAACUGUGGUAAUUCUAGAGCUAAUACAUGCACCAAAGCUCUGACCUUGCGGAAAGAGUGCAUUUAUUAGAGCAAAACCAAGCGACUUCGGUCGUUUAAUGCUGACUCAGAAUAACUCAGCUGAUCGUACGGUCUUUGAACCGGCGACGUGUCUUUUGAGUAUCUGCCUUAUCAAUUUUCGAUGGUAGUGUAUCUGACUACCAUGGUGUUGACGGGUAACGGAGAAUAAGGGUUCGACUCCGGAGAAGGGGCCUGAGAAAUGGCCACUACGUCUAAGGAUGGCAGCAGGCGCGCAAAUUACCCACUCUCAGUACGAGGAGGUAGUGACGAGAAAUAACGAGACCGUUCUCUUAGAGGCCGGUUAUCGGAAUGGGUACAAUUUAAACCCUUUAACGAGUAUCUAUGAGAGGGCAAGUCUGGUGCCAGCAGCCGCGGUAAUUCCAGCUCUCAAAAUGCAUAGAACCAUUGCUGCGGUUAAAAAGCUCGUAGUUGAAUCUUUGCCAGAGACUUGGUCGACUCCUUUGAGCGCGUACUAAGUUCUUUGGCUUUUACCGUCGGUUUUCUUGUUGUCGCCUUUAUUGGUGGUGGCAAGUGGCUGACAAUUUUACUUUGAACAAAUCAGAGUGCUCAACACAGGCGUUUUGCUUGUAUGCUUUUGCAUGGAAUAAUAGAAUAUGACUAUGGUCUAGUUUUAUUGGUUUUAUAGAUCGUUGUAAUGAUUAAAAGAGACAAACGGGGGCAUUCGUAUUGUUGCGUGAGAGGUGAAAUUCUUGGACCGCAGCAAGACGACCUACAGCGAAAGCAUUUGCCAAGCUUGUCUUCAUUAAUCAAGAACGAAAGUCAGAGGAUCGAAGGUGAUCAGAUACCGCCCUAGUUCUGACCGUAAACGAUGCCAACUAGCGAUUCGCCGACGGAUUAUUUGCCUUGGCGAGGAGCUUCCCGGAAACGAAAGUCUUCCGGUUCCGGGGGAAGUAUGGUUGCAAAGCUGAAACUUAAAGGAAUUGACGGAAGGGCACCACCAGGAGUGGAGCCUGCGGCUUAAUUUGACUCAACACGGGAAAACUCACCCGGCCAGGACACUAUAAGGAUUGACAGAUUGAUAGCUCUUUCAUGAUUUGGUGGAUGGUGGUGCAUGGCCGUUCUUAGUUCGUGGAGUGAUUUGUCUGGUUUAUUCCGAUAACGAGCGAGACUCUAGCCUACUAAAUAGUUUACUCAUUUAUUUUUUGUGUAGUAAUACUUCCUAGAGGAAUUUUCGGUGUUUAACCGCAUGAAAUUGAGCAAUAACAGGUCUGUGAUGCCCUUAGAUGUCUGGGGCUGCACGCGCGCUACACUGGUAAAGUCAGCGUGCUUUUUCCUGUUUCGAAAGAGAUUGGGUAAACCAAUGAAAGUUUGCCGUGAUUGGGAUCGGAAAUUGCAAUUAUUUUCUGUGAACGAGGAAUUCCAAGUAAGUGUGAGUCAUCAACUCGCGCUGAUUACGUCCCUGCCCUUUGUACACACCGCCCGUCGCUGCCCGGGACUGAGCCAUUUCGAGAAAUUUGGGGAUUGCUGAUUAAAUAAUCAUUUAUUUGGUUGUUUUUUUGGUGAAAACCAGCUUAAUCGUAGUGGCUUGAACCGGGCAAAAGUCGUAACAAGGUGGCUGUAGGUGAACCUGCUGCCGGAUCAUUAUCGAU
rnacentral:rRNA from 1 species